CCCAAACUCAAAAUUGGACAUUGUUCUCAAUGUCUCAUGCAAGGCAUUAUCAAAUGUCAAGGCAAAUAGUAAUUACCAGGAAUUGUAAAGAUUAAGAGCAAAAAGAAAGAGUUACCUGGUAUGAGAAUUCAAGGUAAAGGGAUGCAUAAGAAGCUGCACAGGCUAUGCAGAAGAAAGUACUGUCCAGAACAGGUGCAUAAGUAGGGUGCAUAAACCGUGCGGUUCUGCAUGAGUGGCA
rnacentral:misc_RNA from 1 species